rnacentral:rRNA from 1 species
AUGCAGAUCGACACGCUGCUAGAAAUCCUCCAUCUCUUCGGGGUGGCCACAUGACUGCGCAUCAACCAGCAAAAAUCCUCUGCGAUCCCUAUCUGCUGCGAUGUAGUAGACCUCGACGACAUUCUUCUGAAUUUUGGCGGACAUAAGACUAGCUUACCAAUAAGGUACCUUGGCCUCCCAGUCAUGAUGGGCAGAACUAGGCUGGUCCAUCUGUAGUUCAUUCUAGAUAGAAUACGCGCGUGGCUAGCGGGUGGAAGGGCAGGCUCAUGCCUCUGGCUGGGCGCGGGGUGCUGGUCCGCUGCGUCCUCUCGGCUAUGCCAACCUUUGCUCUCACCGUUCUGCGGGUGCCCAAGAAGCUCUUCAAAGAGAUCGACAAGGUGCGCCGCUGUUUCCUUUGGGCGCAGGAUGAGGAGGUGUCGGGGGGGGGGGGAGUGCAAGAUGGCUUGGAAGCUCGUCACCGUGCCGGAGGACUGCGGCGGCCUCGGCAUCCAUGACCUUCCAUGGUUCGUGUGUGCUCUCCGUCUCAGAUGGCUCUCGUGGAGCUGGCAACAACCGGCGAGACCUUGGGUGGGCACCGGCACGCCCUGCGAUGAUGGCGACCGCGCCCUCUUUGCGGCAUCCACGUCGGUCACCAUAGGAAACGGCGCCAUGGCAACUUUCUGGCACUGUAACUGGCUCGGGGGAUGA